UAGGGAAUCUUCCACAAUGGACGCAAGUCUGAUGGAGCAACGCCGCGUGAGUGAAGAAGGUUUUCGGACCGUAAAGCUCUGUUGUUGGUGAAGAAGGAUAGAGGUAGUAACUGGCCUUUAUUUGACGGUAAUCAACCAGAAAGUCACGGCUAACUACGUGCCAGCAGCCGCGGUAAUCGUAGGUGGCAAGCGUGUCCGGA
rnacentral:rRNA from 1 species